rnacentral:rRNA from 1 species
GAUCCUGGCUCAGGAUGAACGCUGGCGGCGUGCCUAACACAUGCAAGUCGAACGAAGCAUCUUAUAGGAAGUUUUCGGAUGGAAUAUGGGAUGACUGAGUGGCGGACGGGUGAGUAACGCGUGGAUAACCUGCCUCACACUGGGGGAUAACAGUUAGAAAUGGCUGCUAAUACCGCAUAAGCGCACAGUACCGCAUGGUACGGUGUGAAAAACCCCAGGUGGUGUGAGAUGGAUCCG